rnacentral:rRNA from 1 species
GACAGAGGGGCAAGCGUUGCUCGGAAUUACUGGGCGUAAAGGGCGCGUAGGCGGGAUGGCAAGUCGGUCGUGAAAUCCCUCGGCUCAACCGAGGAACGUCGAUCGAUACUGCUGUUCUUGAGGAUUGCAGAGGAGACUGGAAUUCCCGGUGUAGCGGUGAAAUGCGCAGAUAUCAGGAGGAACACCAAUUGCGAAGGCAGCUCGCUGGGACGUUACUGACGCUGGAGGAGCGAAAAGCGUGGGAGCGAACAGG